rnacentral:rRNA from 1 species
CGGAGAGUUUGAUCCUGGCUCAGGAUGAACGCUGGCGGCGUGCCUAAUACAUGCAAGUCGAACGAGGUGCCUUUGUAGCAAUACGAGGGUAUCCUAGUGGCGAACGGGUGAGUAACGCGUUGGUGACCUGCCCCAAAGUGUGGGAUAACAGUCCGAAAGGAUUGCUAAUACCGCAUGUGGUCAUCGGGUUUAGAAGCCGGUGACUAAAGCCGCAAGGCGCUUUGGGAGGGGCCUGCGUCCCAUCAGCUAGUUGGUAGGGUAAUGGCCUACCAAGGCGACGACGGGUAGGGGACCUGAGAGGGUGGCCCCCCACAAUGGAACUGAAACACGGUCCAUACACCUACGGGUGGCAGCAGUAGGGAAUAUUGCUCAAUGGGCGAAAGCCUGAAGCAGCAACGCCGCGUGCGCGAUGAAGGUCUUCGGAUCGUAAAGCGCUUUUCUGCGAGAUGAGAAAGGACAGUAUCGCAGGAAUAAGUCUCGGCUAACUACGUGCCAGCAGCCGCGGUAACACGUAGGAGGCGAGCGUUAUCCGGAUUCACUGGGCGUAAAGCGCGUGCAGGCGGUUUGGUAAGUUGGGCGUGAAAGCUCCCGGCUCAACUGGGAGAGGUCGUCCAAUACUACCGGACUAGAGAACAGAAGAGGAAGAUGGAAUUCCCGGUGUAGUGGUGAAAUGCGUAGAUAUCGGGAGGAACACCAGUGGCGAAGGCGGUCUUCUGGUCUGUUUCUGACGCUCAGACGCGACAGCUAGGGUAGUAAACGGGAUUAGAGACCCCGGUAAUCCUAGCCGUAAACGAUGUGAACUUGGCGUUGGUGGCUUAAACACCAUCAGUGCCGAAGCAAACGCGAUAAGUUCACCGCCUGGGGACUACGGCCGCAAGGUUAAAACUCAAAGGAAUUGACGGGGGCCCGCACAAGCAGCGGAGCGUGUGGUUUAAUUCGAUGCUACACGAAGAACCUUACCCGGGUUUGACAUACAGGUGGUAGGGAUCCGAAAGGUGACCGACCCGCAAGGGAGCCUGAACAGGUGUUGCAUGGCUGUCGUCAGCUCGUGUCGUGAGAUGUUCGGUUAAGUCCGCUAACGAGCGCAACCCUCGCCGCGUGUUACAAGUGUCACGCGGGACCGCCGGUCUAAGCCGGUAGCCUAACCGCAAGGAGGGCGCCGUCGAAGGUGGGGCUGGUGACUGGGACGAAGUCGUAACAAGGUAGGUGUACCGGAAGGUGCGCCUGGAUCACCUCCUUUCUA